rnacentral:rRNA from 1 species
UACGGAGGGUGCUAGCGUUGUUCGGAAUCACUGGGCGUAAAGGGCGUGUAGGCGGUCUGUUAAGUCUGAUGUGAAAUCCCGCGGCUCAACUGCGGGUCUGCAGUCGAUACGGGCAGGCUAGAGUUCGGUAGGGGAGACUGGAAUUCCUGGUGUAGCGGUGAAAUGCGCAGAUAUCUGGAGGAACACCGGUGGCGAAGGCGGCAUCCUGGACCGGCAUUGACGCUGAGGCGCGAAAGCCAGGGGAGCAAACGGG